rnacentral:rRNA from 1 species
GCCUAGUCUUUCUUUUAGAUACUAUAUAUAAGCCAGGCCUGGUUAGUACUUGGAUGGGAGACCACCUGAGAAUACUGGGUACUGUAGGCU